GUAGGAUCGGACCUGAGGAACCGAGGUGAUCAGCAGUGAGAUAGCUGCUUCAGAGUUAGUUCAGAGUCAGCCAGAGGUGAGUAGAACUAAACUAAUCUUCUAUUUCAAGGAAUCAAAUGUUUUAAGCAUGUUCAUGCAUCAUGUAUAUGUAAUAGGUUGGUUGCAUUAGACCUCACGAAUAUGACGCAUUUCAUUAUUUAUUGUGGGUGUGGAUGGACAACAGAACGAUCCAUUAGCCCUCUAGAUAUUAUGUUAUGUAAUAGAAGUCCUGAGGAGCUCCACCGAGGGCCGGGCACAGAGUAGAGGGAUUUUUGGGUCAGUUCAUCCGUGAUGUGAAUUGUUUGUGAUGUGAUGCAUUCCAUGAAAGCAUAUGUUUAUUAAUUUAUUUUUUUUACUGUUCUGCUCACUAAGCUUUUGUCGCUCACCCCUUUCCCCUAACCCCCAGGUGUGCAGGUUCAGAAUAGACCGGGAAGUCGUCAAGGUUGAAGGUUGUGUUAAGUGUAAUAGAUUAGUAGUGGACAUGUAAUGCAAAAUGGUAUAAUGUAAUGUAAUGUAAAGAUAUGUUCAUGGUUUA
rnacentral:lncRNA from 1 species